GGGUCAGUAGGUUGGUCGUGCCACCGGUACGUACUGGUCUCACUGAUUCCUCCUUCCUGAAGAACGGUAAUGCCAUUAAUUUGGUGUUGCGGGGAAACAGGACUGUUACUUUGAAAAAAUUAGAGUGUUUAAAGUAAGCUAACGCUUGAAUACAUUAGCAUGGAAUAAUGAAAUAGGACGAUCGAUCCUAUUUUGUUGGUUUCUAGGAUUGACGUA
rnacentral:rRNA from 1 species